AACGAACGCUGGCGGCGUGGAUAAGACAUGCAAGUCGAACGAGAAGAGAGCUUAGCUUGCUUUGCUCGAUUCUAGUGGCGAACGGGUGAGUAUCACGUGAGCAACCUGCCCCGAAGUGGGGGAUAGCCCGAGGAAACUCGGAUUAAUACCGCAUACGGCCGCAAGGCCAAAGGUGGCUUCGGCUGCCGCUACGGGAUGGGCUCGCGCCCUAUCAGCUUGUUGGUGAGGUAACGGCUCACCAAGGCUACGACGGGUAACUGGUCUGAGAGGAUGAUCAGUCACACUGGAACUGAGACACGGUCCAGACACCUACGGGUGGCAGCAGUCGAGAAUCAUUCGCAAUGGGCGAAAGCCUGACGGUGCGACGCCGCGUGGAGGAUGAAGGCUCUAGGGUUGUAAACUCCUGUCAUCGGUGAGUAAGGCAGUGAAGAUUAAGAGUUAUCACUGUUGAUAGUAGCCGAAGAGGAAGAGACGGCUAACUCUG
rnacentral:rRNA from 1 species